rnacentral:rRNA from 1 species
UCCCGUAGGUGACGACGUGUGGUAAGUGAAAUCGAGUAGGGCGGGACACGUGAUAUACUGUCUAAAUAUGGGGGGACCGUCCUCCAAGGCUAAAUACUACUGAGUGACCGAUAGUGAACCAGUACCGGUAUGGAAAGGCGAAAAGAACCCCUGUGAGGGGAGUGAAAUAGAACCUGAAACCGUGUACGUACAAGCAGUAGGAGCA